UGCCUGCAGAAAAUUUGAUUUAGUUUGAGUCCAGUUUUACAUACCCCAUAGAAUGUAUUUAAUAUCUCUGGGUUAUGAUUAAGACUGGGCAAAAGCUAUUUGCUACAACAUGUAAUGAAU
rnacentral:precursor_RNA from 11 species